UACGGAGGGUGCAAGCGUUAUCCGGAUUCACUGGGUUUAAAGGGUGCGUAGGUGGAUCUGUAAGUCAGUGGUGAAAUCUCCAAGCUUAACUUGGAACUGCCGUUGAUACUAUAGAUCUUGAAUGCUGUGGAGGUGAGCGGAAUAUGUCAUGUAGCGGUGAAAUGCUUAGAGAUGACAUAGAACACCUAUUGCGAAGGCAGCUUACUACGCAUAUAUUGACGCUGAGGCACGAAAGCGUGGGGAUCAAACAGG
rnacentral:rRNA from 1 species